AUUGAACGCUGGCGGCAUGCCUUACACAUGCAAGUCGAACGGUAACGCGGGGCAACCUGGCGACGAGUGGCGAACGGGUGAGUAAUGCAUCGGAACGUGCCCAGUAGUGGGGGAUAGCCCGGCGAAAGCCGGAUUAAUACCGCAUACGACCUACGGGUGAAAGCGGGGGACUCGCAAGAGCCUCGCGCUAUUGGAGCGGCCGAUGUCAGAUUAGGUAGUUGGUGGGGUAAAAGCCUACCAAGCCGACGAUCUGUAGCUGGUCUGAGAGGACGACCAGCCACACUGGGACUGAGACACGGCCCAGACUCCUACGGGAGGCAGCAGUGGGGAAUAUUGGACAAUGGGCGGAAGCCUGAUCCAGCAAUGCCGCGUGUGUGAAGAAGGCCU
rnacentral:rRNA from 1 species